rnacentral:lncRNA from 1 species
GAGGUUUAUCACCUGUGUGUGUUCUCAUAUGAGUCUGUAAACUACUAUGCUGACUAAACCCUUUACCACAUUCAUCACAUAUAAAAGGUUUAUCACCUGUGUGUGUUCUCAUGUGAUCCUGUAAAUUACUAUUACGACUAAACCCUUUACCACAUUCACCUCAGUCAUAUGGUUUAUCACCUGUGUGUGUUCUCAUGUGAGUCUGUAAAUUACUAUGCUGACUAAACCCUUUACAACAUACAUCACAUGUAUAAGGUUUAUCACCUGUAUGUGUUCUCAUGUGAUCCCGUAAACUCCUACUUUUAC